GGGUUGUGAGGUUAAGUGACUAAGCGUACACGGUGGAUGCCUAGGCAGUCAGAGGCGAUGAAGGGCGUGCUAAUCUGCGAAAAGCGUCGGUA
rnacentral:rRNA from 1 species